GGCGGCAGGCCUAACACAUGCAAGUCGAGCGGUAGAGAGAAGCUUGCUUCUCUUGAGAGCGGCGGACGGGUGAGUAAUGCCUGGGAAUCUGCCUGGUAGUGGGGGAUAACGUUCGGAAACGGACGCUAAUACCGCAUACGUCCUACGGGAGAAAGCAGGGGACCUUCGGGCCUUGCGCUAUCAGAUGAGCCUAGGUCGGAUUAGCUAGUUGGUGAGGUAAUGGCUCACCAAGGCGACGAUCCGUAACUGGUCUGAGAGGAUGAUCAGUCACACUGGAACUGAGACACGGUCCAGACUCCUACGGGAGGCAGCAGUGGGGAAUAUUGGACAAUGGGCGAAAGCCUGAUCCAGCCAUGCCGCGUGUGUGAAGAAGGUCUUCGGAUUGUAAAGCACUUUAAGUUGGGAGGAAGGGUUGUAGAUUAAUACUCUGCAAUUUUGACGUUACCGACAGAAUAAGCACCGGCUAACUCUGUGCCAGCAGCCGCGGUAAUACAGAGGGUGCAAGCGUUAAUCGGAAUUACUGGGCGUAAAGCGCGCGUAGGUGGUUUGUUAAGUUGGAUGUGAAAUCCCCGGGCUCAACCUGGGAACUGCAUUCAAAACUGACUGACUAGAGUAUGGUAGAGGGUGGUGGAAUUUCCUGUGUAGCGGUGAAAUGCGUAGAUAUAGGAAGGAACACCAGUGGCGAAGGCGACCACCUGGACUAAUACUGACACUGAGGUGCGAAAGCGUGGGGAGCAAACAGGAUUAGAUACCCUGGUAGUCC
rnacentral:rRNA from 1 species